ensembl:lncRNA
AAAGAAAUAAAAACUCAUCAGUCGAAUCAGUUUAGAAUAAUUUGAUUGCUAGAUGGGAAGGCAACGUUUACAGAGGGCGGGGCUUCACUGCCCCGGCUCACUGAAGACGACAGCGGUAUAUCUGACAGAGGAAACGGUAGGAGCACGAAGUUUGUUUCUGUGCUACAUUUGUGUUUCCUUUUCAUGUGUGAGGAUGUAGCUCCGUCCGUCACUCCUGCUCGCACCAGAGUUUUAUUCCCACGGUGCCCUGUCCAUAGUCAUCGCAGGCUGUGAUCUGGCUGCUAACUAUGAGGACAGAUUGAUGAUGUGGAAGCUCCUGCCCUAUGUGACUUUUGUCUUGGAUGUGGCCUCUCAGCAGUUAUGUGUCUCUCAACACAUCAACAUUUGAAACUACACCUAAUAAAGAGUUGGCUCCUGGAGUGGGGUUCUCGCCUCAGUCAUCCCCGCUCUCCUGGACCUGGGCCCCCAGCUGCUGGUACAGCAUCGCCAACUAGCCCGCCUCUCACCUGCCUGCCUCCCCACGCCUCGACCUCAUCCGGGCCUUGCGCCCCACCUGUCCCCUCCACCUGAAACCAAGUAAUGCAACUCAGUUUAACUGUGGAGGAUCGCUGAUUGACUGCUGGACCCCUCUGACUGUGCUCUCCUCUCAUUACAGUGCACCGGUCACUUCAUAGUACUUUUCCCGGCCCAAGCUUCCACCUCCCCACU